rnacentral:lncRNA from 1 species
UUUGCUGUGAAUUUGUUCAUGACAAAAUGGGGCCUGCUAUCAAAUCCUUUCUGCUUGUGGCUAUGGACUUAUCUCUUUGGUGUCCAGAAAAAAGCCAGGGGGUGAAGGUAUAUUUUGUGCCCAGGCUGCAUGCAAUUUGUUGUGAAUACAGAAAAGCAUCUGAACAUGUACCUGAUUCAUUUAAAACAAAAUGUAGCUUAUUCAGUAUAAAGAAGCAAGCUCAUUUCAAUGACUACUAAGAAGUACAGAAAACAGAGGGAUACCUUGGCUUUUCAAACAUAAGAUAGACAAUGUUUAAGUUGAGUUUCAAACAUUUGUAGUCUAGAAAUGCCUUACAGACCCUACAGGAUAUUUUACUACAGCAAGUAAAGUAGAUUUUGCCUGCUAUGAUCUAAUUUUGAUUUACUACAUAAAGAAUAAAAGCCUAUGUCCACUUAUUAUGUUUGAGGAAUUAAAUACAUUUUUUCCCAGUAUUGCCUUUCAAAAGAUCUAAUCAAAUCCACCUAAGAAUGAUUUCCAUCAGAAAAACCUUUAAUUUGCAAACCAAACUUGUUCUGUGGCUCACCAGAGUAUUUGGUUUCUAAACACUCUUGUUAAAUGGGGAAUUCGCUUACAACUAGUGGGAGCACAACUGCUCAAUGCCCAGGGGACUGCAGUGGUAGGUUCUUUCAAGGUCCAGCCUUACACUAGCAUAGGUAGGGGCAAGGCAUCACAUGUUGCCUUCCUCAUGUUUACCCAAUGGAGUUCUUAUUUGUGGUAUUUAUUGCCCUUCAGAAACUUUUAGGGGGGCAAAAAAGCCCAGCCUGGUGCAUAUUCGAGCCUUGGGCAUGAGGCUUAGCAGGUGUCCCUUAAUGAAGUAAAGACAUGUGAACCAUGGAGCCUCUGCAGGUGUGGCGGGGCUAGGUAAGCUUACUGGAUGUCUGUUCUUCUCCUGCUCCUGUGCAAGCACUGAUUUCUGCAUGCUAUGAUGGAGAAUGAGAAGCAAGUGGACAGGGAAAAUUUGAGAUUUGGGGAAACAGGCCAUGGACUACAGGAUAUGAGAAAAGAUCAGCUAAACAUGGUUUCAACUGGCAGUUAAAUUAAAGAAUGUUUACCUGGAAGCUUGCCCUUAGAGAUUAGAAAAACCAUGGCUGGUAGUCCCCCAAAGUACUGAGUGGUGUGUUGAGAAGUUCCUAAGAGUCACAUGGCUAGGAAAUAUUUUGAACACUUCAGGGUCCUUAGCCUCAAGGACCCAAUAAUAUACUAAAAAUUAGUAGAUCUAACUAAAGUAGAAAUGCCUCCUUGUGGGGAGGGGGCACUUGGGAGUUUCUCCAAAGCCACUGCCAGCCUCUCCCCUGUUUGGUACUCUCGGACUCAGCAGCUGUUCAGGUGGUGCCGUGCUGGAGCUCCUGAAAACAUGUUGUUACAUGUUCAGCUGGUUGACAUAAAGUUAGUAGCUUGAAACCGUCUAUGUUGAGAAUAUUUAUACCACGGAAAUUGGCAAGAGCUACACAUCAGGGCGCCACCUUUUCCAGAUCCAGUUGUGAAAUAUUUAGCAGCACACCAAAGAGCCGCAAUUGUCUCUGACUCCCACAGAAAGAAAAUCAAAGGAGGCCUUCAGUAACUCUGAUGAUUAAAGGCAUGUGCACAGCUAUCAAAAGGAACCUGGCCAAAACGUCAUUAGCAUGGUGGCACCUUAUUCAACAGAGGUUGAUACAGGGCAGCCAGUGACAACUGGUUCAGUUGGUCUUAGAAUUUUAUACUCAGUCUUAGAAUUUUAACUCCUUCAAUUUCCUUUUUUGAUUGGUUUCAUUUUAACCUGAGGAUCUUUGCAUUUUGCGCAUAACCUGUAGGUUAAGAAAUCAGACCCCUUUAGGAAUAUUUUAGGCUCUGGGAAUGACAUCCAAGUAGAAUCUGAAUGAGUCAUUUAACUUCCCUGUUUCUCAGUCUAUCUAUUUGUAAAGACGAAUGACCUGAGAUCUGCCUCUCCUUUUGAAAUAUCAAAAGCGAAAUAUAGAGAGCUGGCCUUGGGGUAAAGUAUAUUAAAGCUAUGUCCCUCACUCCGACUGUCUUCAGGCUUGAAUCCAUUCUGACUAAAUUAACCAGUUACUAUUUGCUUACAAAUCAGUGACAGGUCAAUUCAGCCAAAACAGUUGAAUAGUUGAAUCACUAAGACUGUGUCUAUAUUGCCAUGUAUUAUGAUAACUUCAAGGAACAGAUGUGAUACUAAUUGCAUGAGGAGUGAUAAGCAUUCAGCUACUUUGGUCAAAAUGGUAUAUAUGACUUUGCUAUAUAUUAUUUGUUUUCAAAUGCUGGGGACCUCAGAAUUACCUGGGAAUCUUUAUAAGCUUAGCUUAUCCUAGGACAUUCUGAGUCAAAGGUCUGGGGUGGGGAGCAAGAGUUGUGUUUUAAAGAGCUCCUCGUGUCAUACAGCUUUGUUUGCUGGUGGAUCAGCAGCAUGAUCCAGGUCCUAACCCCAUAACCCUAUUGUAAUCUUAGAUUGGCGUCAGCUUUUCUGUGACAGGCUCUUCACUGUGAUUUCACUGUAAUUAACAACAUGAGAAUGGGCUUCAUUGAGGAUAACAACAUCUGUUAAAACACGUAUCUUCAAUAAGAAGUCAUCACAAUAAAAACAAAUUUUAGGAUAUACUGUGUAAUACAAUAAUGACAUUCUAAAAUCUUUCCCAUUUCAAACGUUAAACCUGUGUGGCAAAGCAAUCAGAAUGUGGGAGAGGCAUAUUUAGUUAUUUUGAUCCUUGGUGUCAAUUCACCUAUGGCCUUGAUUAAUUGGGCCACAGAGCCCAGGUAGGUCAGUCAGGUGGCCCAGAGCCUCUAACUCUCUGGCACCUGCGAUGCUCCAUCUGGGGGUUUUAGCCACAUACACACGAUCCCAACAAUCUUUAUAAGCAAAAGCACAGUUCUGCAUAUUCUGGGAGAAGGAGAGGCUACACAGAUACUUUUGCCUAGCACAUUUAAACAAUUUGAAGAAAAGGGAUUUAAGGAUCCAGAUUUAUACAGAAAAUUGUUUGGUCUGUUAUUUUGCACCAGAAGACUCAGUUCAACAUUAUUCAUUAUUCGCAUCUUCUUAACAUACUAAACUAAUGCAAUAAUGCAAAGUUGGCUGUUGAAAUUACUUGCAAUGUGGAAGGCAUUGACAAAAGUUAUUCCUUACCUCAACAGGCCCCAGCUGAAAAUAAUACACAUGGAGCAAAACAACAAGUGAAAUUUUCUUGGGUUAAAUAAACUGAAUACGAAUUUUCAAAAGAAGUACAUAACUGUUCUCAGGAUUCAGCGUUUAAAUUGUGCAUAUAUAUUGCUAAAACCAGGUUUUAUAAAGUGGAUAUUGAAUUACUGGAUGAGAUUCUAGCUGUCAACUGUGAACUGUCAGUAACUAAAUUGUGAUUUACCAGAAUCAUGAUUUGCCAAGGGGGUUUUCUCUCAUUUCAGGGAAGAAUGCAGGUUAUUAUCAGUGGAUGUUGUAUGCUUAGGCACCAUCUCCCUAACUGUCUACACUGACAAAUAAAUACUUUUGGGGGGGGCGGUGAGGGAGAAUAAAUUUUCCUCCUUUACAGUGUACUUUCUGUGCCAUGAGGACCCCGGACUAAAAUACUUUCUUUUUGGGCCCAUCUUCAUUUGAUGCUGGUAAAGGAGGAGAUGGAGAGUCAUAAAUUUUCCUACUGAUUAUCUAUGUAAUCUUGGGAAAAUCAUUUAGCCUGUUUCUCCAGUUCUCAUUUGUAACGUCAAGGAUUAGGACUAUAGAAGUUGAAAGGCUCUUCCAUUUCUGGUAUCCUAUGGUUCUACAAUUCUGUCCCUGCUUCCCCUGACCUCAGGUCAACCUUUCUUUGCUCUUUAAGAGUGCCCAAUAACUACUGCUUGGCCCAAAGUCAUAAGAAAUGCUCUUCCAUUCCUUAGCUUCCCCACCAAAUUAGGUUAGUCAUGGCACUCACAUUCGUGGAUAACUGGAGGCCCGGACACAAGGAGGCUGGAAGACCCUCUCCCCUCGCAUGUCCUGGCUGGCAGCCCCAUGGUCACGUGCAUGACAUCAAGGUCAUAGGCAGAUGGUACGGCAGUCACAGCACUGCUAGGCACACACCACUACUAAACAUACACCACUUUUACAAUGGUCAAGGACACUUAAGACACAGAAGCAAAAGCAGAGGAACUAUAAAUGUUUUAAUCAUCAGGUAUGGGAAAGAUUUCUGGGUCUGGGAGGAAUUCUUAAUACCUCACUUUAGCUCUCUAUCCCGUUUUAAAUAUCUGCACAUGAUUCCCAGAAUAAUCCAUGAAAAAUGGUCGGUGGACUGGCAUUAAGCUGGUCACUAAAUGGGUUUGUAUCUGAGUUGAAUCAGGAGUGAGGAUUCAAUAGUUCUGGAUCUUCCUGUUUCACUGCUCUUGACCGCAAAGGCCCGGGAGUUCCAGUUACUUACACCACUGCCUUUCUAAUCAGGACUCAUGGGACCCACCAACCCUCUGGUCGUGACAGUGGUUAUAUAGAUUUGAUCUUUGAAACGGUCUUUAAAAACAACAAGAGAUUGUAUAUGAUCAGCUAGCGGCUGCGUUUCUCUGUGCUGGAACUAUUAUAGGUCAAGGGCACAAUUAACAAAAGUAACAGUAAAAGCUGCCAUAUAUCGAGUGCUUACUAUAUGCUGAAAACUGGGAUAGAUCGUUUACCCACAUUCGCCACCUAAUUUUUCCAAUAGGAUGGAUGUAGUCUGUGCAGAAAGAAUUUGUGAGAAC